UGGGGAAUAUUGGACAAUGGGGGCAACCCUGAUCCAGCAAUGCCACGUGUGUGAAGAAGGCCUGAGGGUUGUAAAGCACUUUUGUUGGGGAGGAAGUUGAUUAGGUUAAGAGCUAAAUCAAUUGACGUUACCCAAAGAAAAAGCACCGGCUAACUCUGUGCCAGCAGCCGCGGUAAUACAGAGGGUGCGAGCGUUAAUCGGACUUACUGGGCGUAAAGGGCGCGUAGGUGGAUAAUUAAGUCAGAGGUGAAAUCCCAGGGCUCAACCUUGGAAUGGCCUUUGAUACUGGUUAUCUAGAGUAGAGUAGAGGGAAGGGGAAUUUCCGGUGUAGCGGUGAAAUGCGUAGAUAUCGGAAGGAACAUCAGUGGCGAAGGCGCCUUCCUGGACUCAUACUGACACU
rnacentral:rRNA from 1 species